rnacentral:tRNA from 1 species
GGAGAUUUAGCUCAGUGGUAGAGCGCUUGCCUAGCAAGCGCAAGGCCCUGGGUUCUGCCCCAGCUCCA